UGGGGAAUAUUGGACAAUGGGCGAAAGCCUGAUCCAGCCAUGCCGCGUGUGUGAAGAAGGUCUUCGGAUUGUAAAGCACUUUAAGUUGGGAGGAAGGGUUGUAGAUUAAUACUCUGCAAUUUUGACGUUACCGACAGAAUAAGCACCGGCUAACUCUGUGCCAGCAGCCGCGGUAAUACAGAGGGUGCAAGCGUUAAUCGGAAUUACUGGGCGUAAAGCGCGCGUAGGUGGUUAGUUAAGUUGGAUGUGAAAUCCCCGGGCUCAACCUGGGAACUGCAUUCAAAACUGACUGACUAGAGUAUGGUAGAGGGUGGUGGAAUUUCCUGUGUAGCGGUGAAAUGCGUAGAUAUAGGAAGGAACACCAGUGGCGAAGGCGACCACCUGGACUAAUACUGACACUGAGGUGCGAAAGCGUGGGGAGCAAACAGGAUUAGAUACCCAAGUAGUCCCUGAGCGGGCUGGCAAGGCGCAU
rnacentral:rRNA from 1 species